rnacentral:rRNA from 1 species
GUGGAUUAGAUACCCUGGUAGUCCAUGCCGUAAACGUUGGGAACUAGAUGUAGGGUCCAUUCCACGGAUUCUGUGUCGUAGCUAACGCAUUAAGUUCCCCGCCUGGGGAGUACGGCCGCAAGGCUAAAACUCAAAGGAAUUGACGGGGGCCCGCACAAGCGGCGGAGCAUGCGGAUUAAUUCGAUGCAACGCGAAGAACCUUACCAAGGCUUGACAUAUAGAGGAAACGGCUAGAGAUAGUCGCCCCGCAAGGUCUCUAUACAGGUGGUGCACGGUCGUCGUCAACU